GAGGAGCCAGCCCUAGUACGAGAGGACUGGGUUGGGCCAACCUAUGGUGUACCAGUUGUUAGCAAUAGCAGCGCCGGGCAGCUAAGUUGGUAUGGAAGAACUACUGCGUAUGCACUUAUCACCUAAAGUGCAUUAACAAACUCCCCCUUGA
rnacentral:sRNA from 1 species